rnacentral:rRNA from 1 species
UACGUAGGGGGCAAGCGUUGUCCGGAUUUAUUGGGCGUAAAGAGCGUGUAGGCGGUUUGGUAGGUCCGCUGUGAAAACUCGAGGCUCAACCUCGAGACGCCGGUGGAAACCAUCAGACUAGAGUCCGGAAGAGGAGAGUGGAAUUCCUGGUGUAGCGGUGAAAUGCGCAGAUAUCAGGAAGAACACCGGUGGCGAAGGCGGGUCUCUGGGCCGUUACUGACGCUGAGGAGCGAAAGCGUGGGGAGCGAACAGG